UGUAAGUAAGGGUAGAAAGGUCCCUACCGCACCUCUUACCCGCUGUAAGAGGUAUCUGAGAUGUUGGAUACACCGCCCAACUGCUUACA
rnacentral:ncRNA from 1 species